rnacentral:misc_RNA from 1 species
ACACCUCAACUCCUCAUGGUUUGCCAUGAUGAGCUUGUACUUUGGGGGUCUUGCUGGCCUAUGGUUGGCUCCUCUCAAACGGAUCAGCUUGCCAGUGUUUGGUGGCAUCACAGGUGUGAUAAAUAUCUACGCUUGUGGUUUACACCAUAUAGCCUUCAGCGAUGAAGGUUCUCUGGAGCUCACAAAUGUCCCUCCUCGGCGAGGACAGCUCUUUGAAC